UUCAAUUUUCAAGAGAAAAAUCAAGAGGAUAAAGACAAACUUAAUUUACUGAAAUAGUAAAAAUGGCAUGUAUUUCUAUACACAUAAUGUUUAACUGAUAACUUGGUUUAAUUCGCAUCACAGUGAUCAAGAAAUUGGCUGGCCUUUCAUUUGAUGUUCUUGAAAGAUUAGUGCCAUCUUUGAAACUCAACCGAGACAAAAAGUCGGAAUACUACAAUGCAGUUAAGCUUGCCGAAUGCUUAUGCGAGAAAAUAGAAAGUUUGAGUUGCGAAGAAGUUGCAACAAUUGCUAGUGGUCCUCUCCUUGAAGCAGCAAAAUAUGACAACUAUGAGCUUGUUGAAGCUAUCGUGACAAAAUUUCCUUCACUACUUUACUAUAACGACGGGAAUGAAAAGAAUAUAUUUCACCUUGCGAUAGAGAAUCGAUGUGAAAAUGUGUUUAACUUGGUCUAUCAGAUGAGUCAACAUAGAAACUCGUUGAUGAUUUUAGCCGACUCAUCUCGCCAUACUAUGCUGCAUUUUGCUGGACAAUUGGCGCCACAAAAUAAACUAAACCUAGUUCCUGGCCCAGCUCUUCAGAUUUAACGAGAAUUACAGUGGUUUAAGGAAGUAAAGAAUCUUGUACCGCCUUUUCAUCGGGAAUUCUGCAACAAUGAUAACAACACUCCAAGUGAAGUAUUUACUAAGGAACAUGCUGAUUGAAGAUAAAAGGAGAGGAAUGGAUGAAAGGUACAACAAAUUCAUGCACAAUUGCAGCCGUACUCAUUGCUGCCAUUGCAUUUGCUGCAGCAAUUACAGUUCCAGGUGGCAAUGAUGGUGAAAGUGGACUCCCCAUUUUCGCAAGAAACAGUGCUUUCAUUGUUUUCGCUAUCUCAAAUGCAGCAUCACUAUUCACUUCUAGCACGUCUUUGUUGGUGUUUUUGUCCGUUUUGACUUCCCGUUAUGCAAAAGAAGAUUUCCUAUAUGCUUUGCCUAGAAGUUUGAUUCUUGGUUUGCUCACUCUAUUUCUCUCCAUAACACUCAUGACAGUUAGCUUCAGUGCCACAGUGUAUAUUGUGUUCAGGCAGAAGAAAGUAUAUGUGCUUGUCCCUGUAAUUGUAAUGGCUUGUUUACCUAUCAUCUCAUUUGUGCUUUUGCAGUUUCCACUUCUUGCUGCUUUGAUUUCUUCCAAUUGGCGUGGCAUCUUUGGCAAGAAGAGUAACCGCCCAUUUUAUUGAGGAAAUUGUUUAUAAUUGUGGCGACUCGUUGAA